GUCCACCAGAUUGUAUGGUGGUGCACUCAGCUCACGGGGCCAUCUUUGGGUGGAAAGUCAUUCUCGUGAUUCCAGAUUGUAAGGCUAGUCUUUCGAAAUGAGCCCGCUACAGAGUACGAAGAAUAGCCGGUAAUUAACUUUU
ensembl:snoRNA T09B9.10 ncRNA